rnacentral:lncRNA from 1 species
GCAUCAUUAGCUUGGAAGGCUAAGGGUUAUAGUCGACGUCCAUGAAUGAACGUCUCUAAUUCAAAACCGAACAUGAAACAUUUGUUUCAGUCAGCUCCUUUACAGAAUAAUUUAAGAGAUAUAUGGAAUACAUGAAGGGAAAAAAUGACCCAUUUGACUGAGACAAUCAAUUACUCCAGUCCUGACUCAAUUAAUUUCAUCAAACAGUAACUGGAAAUUGUUUCCAGUUCACUUGAACAUCACAAGAGACAAAGGCAGUCAAGCAAUCAAUUUGCAGGCAUAUUCGAUAAUGCUUCACCUGCCACGUUAUAAGUGGAAACCUAUUCUUAACGAUCACACUUAAUAUAUUGUCUAUACUUAUAGUCGACGUUCAUGAAUGAACGUCUCUAAUUCAAAACUGAACGUGAAACUUUUGUUUCAUUCAGCUCCUUUACAGAAUAAUUUAAGAGAUAGAUGGAAUACAUGAAAAAAAAAAUGACCCAUAACAUCUAUGUCAGCCUUUCGGUAUGAAUACAUUUAAAACACGUUGCUUUUUAGAUGAUCCCUCUAGAAGAGGAGUAUUAGAACAAUCUGCUUUUUUCUAGUUACUUCGUUCUCUAUUUCUAUUUGAGAGAAUCUUUAGGAAAAGAAUAAAAUUUCCGUCGAGCUUAAUAAAUAUGUUGAUGUUUCUAGUAAACUAAAAAAAUCGUUUAAUAGCUAUUUUGCUUCAAUUUCUCCUAU